rnacentral:rRNA from 1 species
AGUGAACGCUGGCGGUAGGCCUAACACAUGCCAGUCGAACGGCAGCACAGUAAGAGCUUGCUCUUACGGGUGGCGAGUGGCGGACGGGUGAGGAAUACAUCGGAAUCUACUUUUUCGUGGGGGAUAACGUAGGGAAACUUACGCUAAUACCGCAUACGACCUACGGGUGAAAGCAGGGGAUCUUCGGACCUUGCGCGAUUGAAUGAGCCGAUGUCGGAUUAGCUAGUUGGCGGGGUAAAGGCCCACCAAGGCGACGAUCCGUAGCUGGUCUGAGAGGAUGAUCAGCCACACUGGAACUGAGACACGGUCCAGACUCCUACGGGAGGCAGCAGUGGGGAAUAUUGGACAAUGGGCGUAAGCCUGAUCCAGCCAUACCGCGUGGGUGAAGAAGGCCUUCGGGUUGUAAAGCCCUUUUGUUGGGAAAGAAAAGCAGCAGGUUAAUACCCCGCUGUUCUGACGGUACCCAAAGAAUAAGCACCGGCUAACUUCGUG